AGCUUGAUAACUUCAGCUGGUCAACCAGAACAUUUCUGUAGCUAGCUAUCUGUAUGUAAUGUAGCUACUGAAUGGAUGUUUAAUUCAUCUUUCCAUUGGAACAAGGUCAUACACUUCUGAUCUUCAAUGACCAGGAUUCCCAUUCCUGCAGGAUCAUGCCACUUUGCAGGGAGAAAAAUGGCAGACAUCCAGGCCUAAGAUCCAUGCGUAAUCUGCUUGCAGUCAGAGUGUCACAUUCCACUGACUGCUGGAUAAAUGGCACGAUCAAAGCCUCGGCCGACAUCAUGUCUGAGGUCCAGCUUGGAUUGGGCAAUCCUAAUAAGUGCAGAGAUGGAAGCAAUGUAUGUGGCUCUAAAGUCAAGGAAGCAUCCGGACCAGAUAAAAAAGCCAAGACAUACAGGCUUCAAAAGGACCACAAGAUAGAUCUGCUCACAGAGUUUGAAACAAUGAAACAACCAAACAAAUAAAUAAAUGGUGGGAGCCAAGGAGGGAAGCAUUAG